rnacentral:tRNA from 1 species
CAAAAAAGUUUCGACCACGGCAGGAUUCGAACCUGCAAUCUUCUGCUCCGUAGGCAGACGCGUUAUCCAUUGCGCCACGCGGCCAGACACC